rnacentral:rRNA from 1 species
UACGUAGGGUGCAAGCGUUGUCCGGAAUUAUUGGGCGUAAAGAGCUCGUAGGCGGUUUGUCGCGUCUGCUGUGAAAACUCGGGGCUUAACUCCGGGCCUGCAGUGGGUACGGGCAGACUAGAGUGCGGUAGGGGAGACUGGAAUUCCUGGUGUAGCGGUGAAAUGCGCAGAUAUCAGGAGGAACACCGGUGGCGAAGGCGGGUCUCUGGGCCGUAACUGACGCUGAGAAGCGAAAGCGUGGGGAGCGAACAGG